UACGUAGGGCGCAAGCGUUGUCCGGAAUUAUUGGGCGUAAAGAGCUCGUAGGCGGCUUGUCACGUCGAUUGUGAAAGCCCGAGGCUUAACCUCGGGUCUGCAGUCGAUACGGGCUAGCUAGAGUGUGGUAGGGGAGAUCGGAAUUCCUGGUGUAGCGGUGAAAUGCGCAGAUAUCAGGAGGAACACCGGUGGCGAAGGCGGGUCUCUGGGCCGAAAUUGACGCUGAGGAGCGAAAGCGUGGGGAGCAAACAGG
rnacentral:rRNA from 1 species